GGCUACACAUGCAGUCGAGCGGAAACGAGUUAUCUGAACCUUCGGGGAACGAUAACGGCGUCGAGCGGCGGACGGGUGAGUAAUGCCUAGGAAAUUGCCCUGAUGUGGGGGAUAACCAUUGGAAACGAUGGCUAAUACCGCAUGAUGCCUACGGGCCAAAGAGGGGGACCUUCGGGCCUCUCGCGUCAGGAUAUGCCUAGGUGGGAUUAGCUAGUUGGUGAGGUAAGGGCUCACCAAGGCGACGAUCCCUAGCUGGUCUGAGAGGAUGAUCAGCCACACUGGAACUGAGACACGGUCCAGACUCCUACGGGAGGCAGCAGUGGGGAAUAUUGCACAAUGGGCGCAAGCCUGAUGCAGCCAUGCCGCGUGUGUGAAGAAGGCCUUCGGGUUGUAAAGCACUUUCAGUCGUGAGGAAGGUGGUGUAGUUAAUAGCUGCAUUAUUUGACGUUAGCGACAGAAGAAGCACCGGCUAACUCCGUGCCAGCAGCCGCGGUAAUACGGAGGGUGCGAGCGUUAAUCGGAAUUACUGGGCGUAAAGCGCAUGCAGGUGGUUUGUUAAGUCAGAUGUGAAAGCCCGGGGCUCAACCUCGGAAUAGCAUUUGAAACUGGCAGACUAGAGUACUGUAGAGGGGGGUAGAAUUUCAGGUGUAGCGGUGAAAUGCGUAGAGAUCUGAAGGAAUACCGGUGGCGAAGGCGGCCCCCUGGACAGAUACUGACACUCAGAUGCGAAAGCGUGGGGAGCAAACAGGAUUAGAUACCCUGGUAGUCCACGCCGUAAACGAUGUCUACUUGGAGGUUGUGGCCUUGAGCCGUGGCUUUCGGAGCUAACGCGUUAAGUAGACCGCCUGGGGAGUACGGUCGCAAGAUUAAAACUCAAAUGAAUUGACGGGGGCCCGCACAAGCGGUGGAGCAUGUGGUUUAAUUCGAUGCAACGCGAAGAACCUUACCUACUCUUGACAUCCAGAGAACUUUCCAGAGAUGGAUUGGUGCCUUCGGGAACUCUGAGACAGGUGCUGCAUGGCUGUCGUCAGCUCGUGUUGUGAAAUGUUGGGUUAAGUCCCGCAACGAGCGCAACCCUUAUCCUUGUUUGCCAGCGAGUAAUGUCGGGAACUCCAGGGAGACUGCCGGUGAUAAACCGGAGGAAGGUGGGGACGACGUCAAGUCAUCAUGGCCCUUACGAGUAGGGCUACACACGUGCUACAAUGGCGCAUACAGAGGGCGGCCAACUUGCGAAAGUGAGCGAAUCCCAAAAAGUGCGUCGUAGUCCGGAUUGGAGUCUGCAACUCGACUCCAUGAAGUCGGAAUCGCUAGUAAUCGUGGAUCAGAAUGCCACGGUGAAUACGUUCCCGGGCCUUGUACACACCGCCCGUCACACCAUGGGAGUGGGCUGCAAAAGAAGUAGGUAGUUUAACCUUCGGGGGGACGCUUACCACUUUUG
rnacentral:rRNA from 1 species